UAACAGCUGGUUCAUUUGCCAUGCACACAC
rnacentral:piRNA from 1 species